CGGAGGAUCCAAGCGUUAUCCGGAUUUAUUGGGUUUAAAGGGUGCGUAGGUGGGAUAAUAAGUCAGAGGUGAAAGCUAGCAGCUUAACUGUUAAAUUGCCUUUGAUACUGUUAUUCUUGAGUAUAGUUGGCGUUGGCGGAAUGUGACAUGUAGCGGUGAAAUGCGUAGAUAUGUCACAGAACACCGAUCGCGAAGGCAGCUAACGAAACUAUCACUGACACUGAUGCACGAAAGCGUGGGGAGCAGACAGGAUUAGAUACCCUGGUAGUCCACGCCGUAAACGAUGAUAACUCGACGUUGGCAAUAUACUGUUCAGCGUCCAAGCGAAAGCGUUAAGUUAUCCACCUGGGGAGUACGAUCGCAAGGUUG
rnacentral:rRNA from 1 species